AGCUCAGAAGGGGGGGGCAGUUGGGAAUCUUCCACAAUGGGCGCAAGUCUGAUGGAGCAACACCGCGUGAGUGAAGAAGGUUUUCGGCUCGUAAAGCUCUGUUGUUGGAGAAGAACGUGCGUGAGAGUAACUGUUCACGCAGUGACGGUAUCCAACCAGAAAGUCACGGCUAACUACGUGCCAGCAGCCGCGGUAAUACGUAGGUGGCAAGCGUUAUCCGGAUUUAUUGGGCGUAAAGCGAACGCAGGCGGUUGCUUAGGUCUGAUGUGAAAGCCUUCGGCUUAACCGGAGAAGGGCAUCGGAAACCGGGCGACUUGAGUGCAGAAGAGGAGAGUGGAACUCCAUGUGUAGCGGUGGAAUGCGUAGAUAUAUGGAAGAACACCAGUGGCGAAGGCGGCUGUCUGGUCUGCAACUGACGCUGAGGUUCGAAAGCAUGGGUAGCAAACAGGAUUAGAUACCCUGGUAGUCCAUGCCGUAAACGAUGAGUGCUAGGUGUUGGAGGGUUUCCGCCCUUCAGUGCCGGAGCUAACGCAUUAAGCACUCCGCCUGGAGACACCGA
rnacentral:rRNA from 2 species